rnacentral:rRNA from 1 species
AUGGCUCAGCUGUUCAGCUUCUUCUUCGUACUACUCAUCGCUGCUGCCGAGUCCGUGCAGGGCGCUGGCGCUGGUGUUGGGCUCGUUCCGCCGGUUCCAAUUGGUAAGAGGUACAUCGUCGGUGGCGCGGACGGGUGGCGCGUGCCGCCGAAGGAGAAUAAGGACAUGUACAUCAAGUGGGCCUCCAGCAUUCAGUUCUUUGUCGAGGACUCUAUUGAAUUCAUGUACAAGAACGACUCGGUCGGGAAGGUGAACAAGUACGCGUACUACCACUGCAACUGGACGACACUGGCCCCGACACCGCCCGUCAAGGACGGCAGCUCGCUCUUCCUCUUAGACGCCCCGGGGUUUGCCUACUUCGCGAGCGCCGACGUCAAGCACUGCAAGAAGGGCCAGCGCCUCAUGCUCAACGUCAAGGCCCUGCCAGCGCCGGUUCCGUCAACUGAUAUUUCAAGCCCUCCUAGCCCUGCUCCGCCUGCGAUUGCACCUGGACCGGCCCCUGGAGAGCCCGUAAUGGACAGCGGCACCGCAGUAGUGGCCUCGUCACAUGGGCGCGCCUUGAUGUUGGUGGUUUCUAGCACAACACUUGCAUUGAUGGGGACGAUUCGGGCCUGA